UACGUAGGUGGCAAGCGUUCGUCCGGAAUUAUUGGGCGUAAAGCGCGCGCAGGUGGUUCCUUAAGUCUGAUGUGAAAGCCCACGGCUCAACCGUGGAGGGUCAUUGGAAACUGGGGAACUUGAGUGCAGAAGAGGAAAGUGGAAUUCCAAGUGUAGCGGUGAAUGCGUAGAGAAUUUGGAGGAACACCAGUGGCGAGGCGACUUUCUGGUCUGUAAACUGACACUGAGGCGCGAAGCGUGGGGAGCAAACAGGGA
rnacentral:rRNA from 1 species